rnacentral:rRNA from 1 species
GGCCAGACUCCUACGGGAGGCAGCAGUGAGGAAUAUUGGUCAAUGGCCGGAAGGCUGAACCAGCCAUGCCGCGUGAAGGUCAGUGCCCUAUGGGCGUUAAACUUCUUUUGUGCGGGAGCAAUAAUGGUCACGUGUGGCCAGACGAGAGUACCGUACGAAUAAGCAUCGGCUAACUCCGUGCCAGCAGCCGCGGUAAUACGGGGGAUGCAAGCGUUAUCCGGAUUUAUUGGGUUUAAAGGGUGCGCAGGCGGAAGAUCAAGUCAGGGGUAAAAUUGAGAGGCUCACCCUCUUCGAGCCGUUGAAACUGGUUUUCUUGAGUGAGUGAGAAGUAUGCGGAAUGCGUGGUGUAGCGGUGAAAUGCAUAGAUAUCGCGCAGAACUCCGAUUGCGAAGGCAGCAUACCGGCGCCCAACUGACGCUCAGGCACGAAAGCGUGGGUAUCGAACAGGAUUAGAUACCCGGGUAGU